GAUGAACGCUGGCGGCGUGCUUAACACAUGCAAGUCGAACGGGAUCGGCUGGAGCUUGCUCCGGCCGUGAGAGUGGCGAACGGGUGAGUAAUGCGUGACCGACCUGCCCCAUACACCGGAAUAGCUCCUGGAAACGGGUGGUAAUGCCGGAUGCUCCAGUUGACCGCAUGGUCCUCUGGGAAAGCUUUUGCGGUAUGGGAUGGGGUCGCGUCCUAUCAGCUUGAUGGCGGGGUAACGGCCCACCAUGGCUUCGACGGGUAGCCGGCCUGAGAGGGCGACCGGCCACAUUGGGACUGAGAUACGGCCCAGACUCCUACGGGAGGCAGCAGUGGGGAAUAUUGCACAAUGGGCGCAAGCCUGAUGCAGCGACGCCGCGUGCGGGAUGACGGCCUUCGGGUUGUAAACCGCUUUUGACUGGGAGCAAGCCCUUCGGGGUGAGUGUACCUUUCGAAU
rnacentral:rRNA from 1 species